AUUGAACGCUGGCGGCAGGCCUAACACAUGCAAGUCGAACGAGUGGCGGACGGGUGAGUAAUGUCUGGGAAACUGCCUGAGGGAGGGGGAUAACUACUGGAAACGGUAGAUACUACCGCAUACCAUCAGAUGUGCCCAGAUGGGAUUAGCGUGGUGGUGGGGUAACGGCUCACCAAGGCGACGAUCCCUAGCUGGUCUGAGAGGAUGACCGGCCACCCUGGAACGUAGACACGGUCCAGACUCCUUCGUGAGGCAGCAGUGGGGAAGAUUGCACAAUGGGCGCAAGCCUGAUGCAGCCAUGCCGGGUGUAUGAAGAAGGCCUUCGGGUUGUAAAGUACUGUCAGCGGGUAGGCGUUACCCGCAGAAGGAGCACCGGCUAACUCCGUGCCAGCCGCCGCGGUAAUUC
rnacentral:rRNA from 1 species